GUGUCAGCCGCCGCGGUAAUACGGAGGGGGCUAGCGUUGUUCGGAAUUACUGGGCGUAAAGCGUACGUAGGCGGCUUUGUAAGUUAGAGGUGAAAGCCUGAUGCUCAACAUCAGAAUUGCCUUUAAGACUGCAUCGCUUGAACGUCGGAGAGGUGAGUGGAAUUCCGAGUGUAGAGGUGAAAUUCGUAGAUAUUCGGAAGAACACCAGUGGCGAAGGCGGCUCACUGGACGACUGUUGACGCUGAGGUACGAAAGCGUGGGGAGCAAACAGGAUUAGAUACCCGGGUAGUCC
rnacentral:rRNA from 1 species